rnacentral:tRNA from 1 species
UCCCUGGUGGUUCAGUGACUAAGACAUAUGCUUCCAAAGCAGGGGACCCAGUUUCAAUCCCUGGUCAGGGAA